rnacentral:lncRNA from 1 species
AUUUUGUAUCAUUACAUCAUUCAUUCAAAACUGAUGGGGGAGGGGAAGGUAAGCAGGACAUGUAGAUUUCAAAUAAUGUAUUUUAUGUUUUUGGUUAUGCGAAUUUAAAUUUGAUGUGCUAAAUAUGUUGUAUUCUCGAUGUAAAUAUUCCACUUAAACUAAGAGAUAAUGUUAAGGACUUGCUUAAAAACUUGCAUAAGUACUGACGGGGGUAGAGAGCGUAUAUUAAGGAACAUGAAAUACGCCAAUUAUUAACAUAUUUAUAAUUUUAUUCCAGGUUUGGAAAUAGUCAAAUUUUUAUCUGAAUACAUACAACGUCGCAUACAACUUCGAAGCAAUUUUAUUUUGUUUUUAUGAUGAUCAUUUAUCAUGGUCCAAGAGUAAUUUUAAGGUAAAAUAUUAUGUUGGGCACAUCAGUAGACAGGCAGACAGCUUGUAGUACGUUUGCUAGUGCUAAGUUUCUGUUGCUGAGGUAAUAUGCUCUUCCAAUUUGAUUUAUUUGUGCAAAACUGCAAAUAAGCUCUUCUGCAAAUCAGUUAAAUCAUAUCCAAUAGCUAUAAUAGGUGUCAUCCCAGACUCCAGACCUGCCAACCUUAGCAACUGAAUGAACUGAUAUAUAGGGAGAAUUCUUUAAACACUUUAUAAUUUGGCAGGAGAAUUGGCUGUUUAGAGGGAGAAAACCCAUCAAAUUAGCCCUUUUCAUCAGAGCAGUCAGAUUAGUGUCUCGUUCAAACUCCUAGCUAUACACUCUGAACCGCAUGUUAAUAUAAUUUAUAUAAUUCCGGGAAUAAAACUUAUAGUACAAUUGCACUCUUGUGUUUUUGAUAAAUCGCAUCCCUCAAAAUGCUUCUCAUACAAAUCUAUUAGUCUAUUUUGGUAUUAUAUAAAACAAAUAAUGAAUGUUUCUUCGUGCAAUGGUAAGAAUAUUUUCAUUCGGUGAAAGAUGGAAUGUUCCAUUCAACUUGGCUGUCGCCUCGUUGAAUGGAAUAUUCCAUCUUUCACCUCAUGAAAAUAUUCUUACCAUUGCACUCAUAAACAUUCAUUAUUUGUAUAAUAUUUAAUUGUUAAUCCGGUAUUAACCAAAGCCGUGCCUAUUUUUCAGUUACAGUAAUUAUAAAGAAAUAAUUAUAUAUCCUAUCUGAGCAAAGCUAUGAAAAUUUAAUAAUCACGCCUUUAACGAUGAACUGUCGUAGUCGACACCUGUAAAGUAAUGUUAGUAUCCAACCGAAUGGGUCCUAAGGGUGGGGCCCCCACCCGGCCCAUACACACCAAUGAAAGGAGGUCCACCAGUCCUUCUGUGUCCAACACACAUGUACCUAGGUACCAUUUGUACCGUUUACAUUUAUAACACUGUCUAAAUCUUCCUUCUCGUGCAUGUACUGUACAACUACUAACAUCUAAUCUGUAAUUUUACACAAUAUAUGAAAAAUUAAAGCUGAAUAAGGUAAACUGCCCUUUAAGUCUUUUUUUUUAUGGUAACUAACUUUUUAUAUUUUCUAUUUGUUUGAUGAAAAUUGCAUCAGUAAGAUGCUGAUGAUGUAAGAUGAAUAAUGUAUUUGGGCAAUACUCUAUAGUAAUAUCUCACUUCUAUGUUAAACCCUUUUUAACACUUUUACUUUAUACACUUGCAUUUCAUUUUUGUGUCGUUUCAGCAAUCCUGAAAGACAACAGAUAUACAGAUGCAAACACAAGACUAUGAAAUAAAGGGUAUAUGAAAUAAAGGGUAUACAAUAAUAGCUGAGAGCGUCUAAAAGAAUAGGUUGCAAAUCUAAGUUUAUACUGAAACGAAUAAAAUUGUGACGAGCUUUAAAACCUGAUGAAGUGAUGCCUACAAUUGUUUUUGAGUAAACAAGAAUUUUGUAUUAAUUAUUCCGAAAAUUUGAGUAAAAGCAUUUAAAAUAUUGUAACUUGUUGGGUAAUUGUUGGUGCUGUGUAAGGUAUAUUAUUGAUUCUUCCAGAUGCUCUGAAGUAAUUGUACCAUUAAUUGAAACUUUCAUCAUGCAAUCUUUUUCAAUCAAUCAAUGCCAUUUCGGAGUCAUGGCAGCUUUGAAAGAAAUGAAAAGUUUAAAUAACAAGUAAAAUAUGGUUAUGGUUCAACUGUUAAUAAUAUCAUCAGAAACAUUGAAUUGGAAUAUCUGAAUUUUACCUCCAAUGUUACAAGUACUUUUUUUACUUAAGUACCUUCACCAGGUCCAUUGUUGGUGAGUGAGUUUUUUACAGUCCUAAGUUACUAACAUGCAGUUUUGGGCAUCGAUGCCAAAUAUAAUAUGACCUUAUCUCCAACACAACUUAUAAACCCUUUAUGUACAACAAGUUUAAUCUAUAUAUUGUUUUCCAUUGGUGCAAGCAAUAGUUUUUAUGCAGAUUUUACAUUCUUUUAGAAUAAUAGAGAAUAAAAAUAAAAAAUGUUUCUUAUUUAGGCCUGUUGUUGUCCAAUCC